GUCAUGCCAAUGGCAUUGCCCGGUAGCUAAGUGCGGAAAAGAUAAGCGCUGAAAGCAUCUAAGCGCGAAACUUGCCUCAAGAUGAGUCUUCCCUGGGCCUUUAAGGCCCCUGAAGGAACGUUUAAGACUAAGACGUUGAUAGGCUGGGUGUGUAAGUGCAGCGAUGCAUUGAGCUAACCAGUACUAAUGAUCCGUGAGGCUUAACCUUACAACACCGAAGGUGUUU
rnacentral:rRNA from 1 species